UUUUUUUUUUUUUUUUUUUUUUUUCAUCAUUCUCCAU
rnacentral:ribozyme from 1 species